rnacentral:rRNA from 1 species
GUCUACGGCCAUGCUACCCUGAACAAGCCUGAUCCUGUCUGAUCUCGGAAGCUAAGCAGGGUCAAGCCUGGUUAGUACUUGGAUAGGAGACCACCUAGGAAGACCAGGUGCUGUAGGUG